GAUUUCCUUCGGGGCAGGGUGAAAUUCCCAACCGGCGGUGAUGAGGGUACGCCCUCUUAGUCCGUGACCCGGUUUUAUUAGCAGAGAUGCAGGAACAUGCGCUUUUCUAAUGAUUGUCUAGCUCCAGCGCCUACCCCCUCGAGGUCACAAGCCAAUCCUCCCAAAAAGGCAAAAGACGCCUUUUCUGCGAGGCUCGUCUUGUGCUUGUCGGGGGUGAACAAGGCGCUUGCGCUUUUCUAAUGAAAACGGUGGAUUUGGUGAAACUCCAAAGCCGACAGUGAAAGUCUGGAUGGGAGAAGGAAUGA
rnacentral:ncRNA from 1 species